rnacentral:rRNA from 1 species
AGUGAACGCUGGCGGUAGGCCUAACACAUGCAAGUCGAACGGCAGCACAGUAAGAGCUUGCUCUUACGGGUGGCGAGUGGCGGACGGGUGAGGAAUACAUCGGAAUCUACUCUUUCGUGGGGGAUAACGUAGGGGAACUUACGCUAAUACCGCAUACGACCUACGGGUGAAAGCAGGGGAUCUUCUGACCUUGCGCGAUUGAAUGAGCCGAUGUCGGAUUAGCUAGUUGGCGGGGUAAAGGCCCACCAAGGCGACGAUCCGUAGCUGGUCUGAGAGGAUGAUCGGCCACACUGGAACUGAGACACGGUCCAGACUCCUACGGGAGGCAGCAGUGGGGAAUAUUGGACAAUAGGCGCAAGCCUGAUCCAGCCAUACCGCGUGGGUGAAGAAGGCGUUCGGGGUGUAAAGCCCUUUUGUUGGGAAAGAAAAGCAGCAGGUUAAUACCCCGCGGUUCUGACGGUACCCAAAGAAGAAGCACCGGCUAACUUCGUG